rnacentral:rRNA from 1 species
GGCGAACGCUGGCGGCGUGCCUAAUACAUGCAAGUCGAGCGGACUUAAAAAGCUUGCUUUUUAAGUUAGCGGCGGACGGGUGAGUAACACGUGGGCAACCUGCCUGUAAGACUGGGAUAACUUCGGGAAACCGGAGCUAAUACCGGAUAAUCCUUUCCUACUCAUGUAGGAAAGCUGAAAGACGGUUUACGCUGUCACUUACAGAUGGGCCCGCGGCGCAUUAGCUAGUUGGUGAGGUAACGGCUCACCAAGGCGACGAUGCGUAGCCGACCUGAGAGGGUGAUCGGCCACACUGGGACUGAGACACGGCCCAGACUCCUACGGGAGGCAGCAGUAGGGAAUCUUCCGCAAUGGACGAAAGUCUGACGGAGCAACGCCGCGUGAGUGAUGAAGAUUUUCGGAUCGUAAAACUCUGUUGUUAGGGAAGAACAAGUACGAGAGUAACUGCUCGUACCUUGACGGUACCUAACCAGAAAGCCACGGCUAACUACGUGCCAGCCGCCGCCGUAA